UACAGAGGGUGCAAGCGUUAAUCGGAGUUACUGGGCGUAAAGGGCGCGUAGGCGGUUAGAUAGGUGUGAUGUGAAAGCCCUGGGCUUAACCUAGGAAGUGCAUCGCAAACCAUUUGACUAGAGUAUAGGAGAGGGUGUCGGAAUUUCCGGUGUAGCGGUGAAAUGCGUAGAGAUCGGAAGGAACGUCAAUGGCGAAGGCAGACACCUGGCCUAAUACUGACGCUGAGGCGCGAAAGCGUGGGGAGCAAACAGG
rnacentral:rRNA from 1 species